CUGAAAGCCAGACUCUCAGAAAAUCUCGUGACAUAGGGAGAGAUGUGAAGUCAAGAGAAUUUCAGUUGCAUGAGAUUAUUUUCAGCAUUUGGGAGACCCUCAAAGGAAACCUUCAAGUACAGCCGGGGAGAUGAUGACUCUGAGGAUGGAGCAUGAGCAGUGACUGUGUUAGGACCUGGGAUGGAAUCUCCAGAAAGCACAUGAACACCAGGAGAAAUCACACAGCCCUCAGAUGCCAGAUUGAAGAUGCGGAGCAGGAGACCCUGAGAGAUUGCUGAACUCAUGUCUGAAGUAGUCACGGGAACUCUUGGUGGAGCUGGAGUCAGAGUCUGCUGUGAGCAGGAAGGAAGCAGGAUGAUCUGUCUGGAGAAGCUAAGUAACAAGGAGGAUCCUAAGAGAGGCAUACACUGUGCCCCUGGAAAAGGGAAAAGGAC
rnacentral:lncRNA from 1 species